rnacentral:tRNA from 1 species
AAAAGAGAAAGAUUUAUUCUUUCAUAAUAAAGGCUACAACUUUACACUUCUUCAGACGUCUUUUC